rnacentral:sRNA from 1 species
AAAUAUCAGAACAAUAGUUUUUGAUCUUGAUGGAAUUCAACAGAGAUAUUCUUAGUAAAUGUUCAGAGGUAAAGAAAGAAUUUAAUAUGAACCAUUUUUGGAAAAAAACAUCCAGGUACGUAUAUGUAUAUAAACCAGAAGGAAGUGAACCAAAAUGUUAAUGAGUUAUUUUUGGCAGUUUUAUAGUAUUGUAAACUAUUUUAAUCUUGUUAUAUUUUUUAAAUUUUUUUCUAUGAAUUAUGUGAUCAGAAAAAAAAUUAACAUUUAGUUAAGAAGAGGAAAGCAAAUAAAUUGUGCCUUGGUAUUUCACAUCUCUGAAUAAAAAUAGUCUCUCAAACCUGAACAAAUACUGUCUUGGUUAUCAAGAAUAAUAAUCAUUUAUUUUUCUUUUUUCUCAGUGUUGCAUCUGAGCCAAGAAAACUUUAUGAAAUGCCAAAAUGUUCCAAAUCAGAAAAAAUAGAGGAUGCUUUAUUAUGGGAAUGCCCAGUGGGAGAUAUACUUCCCAAUUCAUCAGAUUAUAAGUCCUCACUCAUAGCACUGACUGCUCAUAAUUGGCUACUUCGUGUAUCAGCAACUACGGGAAAAAUCCUUGAGAAAAUAUAUCUUGCACCUUAUUGCAAAUUCAGAUACUUGAGCUGGGACACUCCUCAAGAAGUCAUUGCAGUUAAGUCAGCUCAGAACAGAGGCUCAGCAGUGGCCCGGCAGGUAUACAUAUUUAAACAUUCAAUAAAAUGAAGAAUUUUUUUCAUAGGAAUUUGUCUGCAGAUUUGUUAUGAAAAAUCUAAUCUUUUAUUUCUGAAGCAUGCUAUAAAAGAUAGGA